GAAAUGCUGCUGCAGACCCACUUAGAUCUUAGAUCAAAACUUGUGCUGUAGUUGAAAUGUCAAAAUUCUCUCUUUGUGUCAGGUAAAAUGGGGAUGAUUAUGGCUGUCGUAACUGGUUGUGGAAUGGCUGUUCUGGCUGCUGCCAUUCUUUCUUGUGUCAUCAUUUGUAAUAUGAGAAGGAAACACAGGAUAAUGGAGACAGAUUCUGGAGCAGACACACAGGUUGUUUAUUUUUACACGUCCUUUUGCAUCCUUAAAGCUCAAUGGAAUUGGUCCACUGUUUGUCUGAGCACUUCAGCACAGAACACUUCCCCUUUUGCUAGUACGCUGUGGUCAGUAGAAGGGUGAUAAAGUCGUAAAAUCACAAAAUCACUGCGAUAUGUUCACUUUAAUGGUAUUUUGUUUUAGUACCUCAGUUUCUCUGCCACCGUUCUGUCAUUUAGCUAUUUAGUUCAGAAUUAUGAUUGAAUAAAUCACUUUUAAAACAUUUCCUCCAGAGAGACCAUGAUACAUAUGCAGCCCUGGACAUCCGCACCAUGUCUCCUGAUUAUGACACCCUGAAAAAUGCGAGGUCCAUGUGGUCUAGCAGCAACAGGAACGACAUAGUUUAAAGUGGGCCUAUUAUGCUUUCCCGUCUUCCCCUUUCCAUCAGUGUGUUAUUUAGCUUUUUUGUGCACGUAAACGGUCUGCAAAGUUACAGAUGCCCAAAGUACACGCCAGAGGGAGUGACUCUCUCUCGCAGAAACCAUUUUUCUCAGCUGCCUGAAAUGCCUUGUUGGAAUUCCGGCCUUUUCCUCCGUUACAUGAUGACGCAAUCUCGUAACACAA